rnacentral:lncRNA from 1 species
CCCAGAAAUCAAGUAUACUCUCAUGACGACUUUAUCAUCUGAUGUGUCUCCACUACAGACAUUUGAAUUUGAACAACCACUGAGGAGCCCAGGUUCCAGGCACCACAGUCAUUUCUGAUGAGACUCUCAACUAUACAGAGUAGGCCUAUCAUCUGUGGAGUCAAGCGUCCUCAAGAGGCACAAGAAGGCUCCUGUGGAUCCUCUGAAAACCCCUCUUUAUGUCUGAG